rnacentral:lncRNA from 11 species
AGAGGUUUUGUGCAGGGCAAUGGAUCGCUUGGUUUUCAGAUAUUGUUGUUUCUCCUGAUUAAAAACAAAAAGUCAAACUAACCUUGUGAUGAAUGUAAGAUGAAUGUAUUAAGACUUCAGUUUGCUCUUAAAUUUCUAGGUGUGAGUGUGAUGGAGAAGCAGAACUUGAAAUGGGACUGCUGACGAUGUAAGAGUUGUGAUUCUCUACUCUUAAAGGGACGGUCACCCAUGCUUUCAAUGUGAUGUGGUCGACUGCCAGGACUGGCUCUCUAGCAAUAUCUGGAAGGUCCCAUGAUCCCAGCCAGAAUUCAGCUACCACUUCCAGCUGGAGUAGAUCUUUAGAAUCAGUUGCUGAAUGGUAAGUCCAAAGUUUUCAAAUCCCAUUAAUUC